AUUCCGAACCCGGAAGUUAAGCCCUUCAGCGCCGAUGGUACUGCAUGGGAGACUGUGUGGGAGAGUAGGACACCGCCGGAC
rnacentral:rRNA from 1 species